GACGAACGCUGGCGGCGUGCUUAACACAUGCAAGUCGAACGGAAAGGCCCUGCUUUUGUGGGGUGCUCGAGUGGCGAACGGGUGAGUAACACGUGAGUAACCUGCCCUUGACUUUGGGAUAACUUCAGGAAACUGGGGCUAAUACCGGAUAGGAGCUCCUGCUGCAUGGUGGGGGUUGGAAAGUUUCGGCGGUUGGGGAUGGACUCGCGGCUUAUCAGCUUGUUGGUGGGGUAGUGGCUUACCAAGGCUUUGACGGGUAGCCGGCCUGAGAGGGUGACCGGCGACAUUGGGACUGCGAUACGGCCCAGACUCGUACGGGACGCAGCAGUGGGGAAUCUUGCACAAUGAGCGGAAGCCUGAUGCAGCAACGCCGCGUGCGGGAUAACGUCCUUCGGGUUGUAAACCGAUUUCGCAUGUGACGAAGCGUGAGUGACGGUAAUGGGUAAAGAAGCACCGGCUAACUACGUG
rnacentral:rRNA from 1 species